rnacentral:rRNA from 1 species
UACGGAGGAUCCGAGCGUUAUCCGGAUUUAUUGGGUUUAAAGGGUGCGCAGGCGGGAGAUUAAGUCGGAGGUGAAAUUUUGCAGCUCAACUGUAAAAGUGCCUUCAAAACUGGUUUCCUUGAGUGUAGAUGAAGUAGGCGGAAUUUGUGGUGUAGCGGUGAAAUGCUUAGAUAUCACGAGGAACUCCGAUUGCGCAGGCAGCUUACUAAACUACUACUGACGCUCAGGCACGAAGGCGUGGGGAUCAAACAGGAUUAGAUACCCGGGUAGUCCCU